GACAGAGGGUGCAAACGUUGUUCGGAAUUACUGGGCAUAAAGCGCGUGUAGGCUGCUUGGAAAGUCGGAUGUGAAAGCCCUGGGCUCAACCUAGGAAGUGCAUUCGAAACUUCUGAGCUGGAGUUCUGGAGAGGAAGGCGGAAUUCUCGGAGUAGAGGUGAAAUUCGUAGAUAUCGAGAGGAACACCGGUGGCGAAGGCGGCCUUCUGGACAGUGACUGACGCUGAGACGCGAAAGCGUGGGGAGCAAACAGG
rnacentral:rRNA from 1 species